rnacentral:rRNA from 1 species
GACGUAGGAGGCGAGCGUUGUCCGGAUUCAUUGGGCGUAAAGAGCGCGCAGGCGGCUUGGUAAGUCGGAUGUGAAAUCCCGAGGCUCAACCUCGGGUCUGCAUCCGAUACUGCCCGACUAGAGGUAGGUAGGGGAGAUCGGAAUUCCUGGUGUAGCGGUGAAAUGCGCAGAUAUCAGGAGGAACACCGGUGGCGAAGGCGGAUCUCUGGGCCUUACCUGACGCUCAGGCGCGAAAGCUAGGGGAGCGAACUGG